AAGACCUUGCGCUUUUGGAGCGGCCGAUGUCUGAUUAGCUUGUUGGUAAGGUAAAAGCCUACCAAGGCUUCGAUCAGUAGYUGGUCUGAGAGGACGACCAGCCACACUGGGACUGAGACACGGCCCAGACUCCUACGGGAGGCAGCAGUGGGGAAUUUUGGACAAUGGGGGCAACCCUGAUCCAGCCAUGCCGCGUGAGUGAAGAAGGCCUUCGGGUUGUAAAGCUCUUUCAGCCGGAACGAAACGGUUACGGUUAAUACCCGUGACUACUGACGGUACCGGAAGAAGAAGCACCGGCUAACUACGUGCCAGCAGCCGCGGUAAUACGUAGGGUGCAAGCGUUAAUCGGAAUUACUGGGCGUAAAGCGUGCGCAGGUGGUUUUGUAAGUCAGAUGUGAAAUCCCCGAGCUCAACUUGGGAACU
rnacentral:rRNA from 1 species